GGCCAGUUAAGCCCCCAUGACCCAUUACCCAGCUCCAUUCCAUCAUUCUAUGACAUAACCGCGUCAUCUUCUCGUUUUUAUUUGGGGGAACAGCCUGUUUUGAAUUUCGCUUGCACAGCGAAACAACCCCCUCCAAAUUACAUCUAUACCCAUAGCAGUUCCACCCUCAGCCCCUCUCCCUUCCUCAACUGCACCAAGGACAUAACCGACAUUUCACUCCCCCUCAAAACCAUCACCGUUACCGUAGCAAAACCACCACCGGAGGCAAAAAUCCUCAUUCUCCUCCCUUCCCUCUCUUCUCCUCUCUCCAAAUCAGAUCCGAACAAACCCUAA